UGCGACAGUUCUACGUACGACGGUGCCAAUUCAAGAUACUAAAGACUGGACUUAGCAUUUUCAGCUUUUCAAAGAACCCUGAAAACCAUGCAGCGUAGCUUGACCACCAGCUGAUCAUAAAACGAAGCGCGGUGGGCCUAGACCAAAAGGAUGACGUCUGCUGUUGUCAGUGUGUUUAUAGUGUCAGUGGGCGUUAUGUGACAGUCUAAUAGGCCCUAGCUGUGCCAAUUCAAGAUAGCUCUACAAAAGACUGGACCUAGCAUUCUUCAGAUUUCCAAAGAACUGAAAUUGCCAAGUGUCAGUGGUGUUCUGAGAAAGUUUGCGUACAACUGUGCCAAUUCAAGAAAAGACUGGACAUAGCAUAUUCUUCAGAUUUCCAAAGGACCCUGAAAUCCUCACAGCUAGACCACCAACUGAUCGUGGAAUAAAGAGGAUGGCGCCUGUCGUCAGUGUCAAAUGUCAGUGGUGUUCUGCAUGUAACUGUUCCAAUUCAAGAAACAAAAAACCGGGCCUAGCAUUCUUCAGAUUUCCAAGGGACCUUGAAAUGUAAGUGUAUUUUCAUGUACUUAGCCUUUGCGUGUAUUUUUUUCCACAGCAUUUUUCUCUUGAGUCCAAAGAGUAGCCUCCACCCCUAGGCCUACCUGUACUCCUUCAAUCACAACACAGACAACAGCGUAGUCGAGUUAGCUUGUCUUGUCAGUGCUAAUGCAGGGGCAGGAGGAUGAAAUAUUGGACGAAAUUUAAACCUUACUGCGAAUGUAGGCUUAUAUAUUGGAUUUCAAGUGAUCUGGAAGAAAAUUGAUUUCUCCUUUCAUCCUUCAGUUUGAACUCGGGCCAUGAAAAUUUGCUUCCGUUUUUAAUAAACGUAUCAUCAUAGUACUGGCGGGGAAAGGGUGGGGGAGGGGGUGUCGACCCCCCCCCCCCCAACUUGCUACACUUUCCCAUAUGUAGACCCCCAGGAAAGUGUUUGUUAUAAGUUUGUAUUGAGUUCCUCCCCUCCCAAGGAACUGAUUAGGAAUGGUAGUGACGCAUUGAGUCUUUUUUUAAAACUAAAAGUUAUCAUUGUAAUUAGUUAAAAACUGUCAAAUAGGCAACGCAAAAAUCAGGUUUAGUCUAAUAUAUGAAAACUAUGUUACAGCAUCCUAGAUCAAAUUGAUUGUUCACCCACAAAAAAGAUUAAAAAAUUUUUUUUUUUAAUGCUUUCUGUCUUAUCUUAAUUUUUUCCCAAAAAAAUUGGGAUGAG